CGGAGUUGGAUUGGCCUAAACGGAUGGAGAUAAUACACGGGAUUGCUCGCGGAAUCUUGUAUCUUCAUCAAGAUUCAAGACUGAGGAUCAUCCACAGAGACCUCAAGGCCAGCAAUGUACUUCUUGACAACGAAAUGAUCCCCAAGAUUGCGGAUUUUGGCAUGGCUAGAAUUUUUUGGGGAAAACAAAUCAGAGGAAGCACAAAUCGUGUCGUCGGAACAUAGUGAGUUAGUCUUUUACAAUUCACAUUGAACUGUGCAGAAUCUUUCAACCUUAUGUCGUUUUCAAUCUCAUUGUCACAGUGGAUAUAUGUCACCUGAGUAUGCAAUGGAGGGUCAUUUCUCCGUUAAAUCCGACGUCUACAGCUUCGGAGUAUUGAUCUUAGAGAUCAUAACAGGGAAGAAAAACAGUGCUUUCCACAAGGAAUCUUUGAACCUAGUUGGACAAGUAAGUACUAAACUGCAAAAAGAUUACAUGAAUAGAGGAUCAAAUCAGAACAUAACAUAACCAAAUGAUGUUUAUUUCGUCUUGUCUUGUAGAUAUGGGAUCUAUGGAACAAAGGUGAAGCAACAGCUAUCAUAGACGACAAACUAAUGAAUCAAGAUAUUAAUGAUGAGAGCGAAGUGAUGAAGUGCGUACACAUUGGGUUGCUUUGCGUGCAAGAAAAUGCUUCGGAUAGACCAGACAUGCCCUCUGUUGUGUCCAUGUUUGGUCAUAACGCCAAUGACUUUCCUCCUCCCAAGCAUCCUGCGUUUACGUCGGGAAGGAAGACACACGUCAAGAAUGACGACCUCAGUGGAGAAAACAGCGCUUCUGUUAAUGACAUUACUCUCACUGAUGUUUAUGGCCGUUGAAAUAUUUUGAAUUAUUGAGAGAUGUAUCUUAUUUUUGAUAACUAUGAAACAAGGAGGAAGCCGGAGAAGAAAUGGGGAAGAGUGGUGGUGGUGGUUAGCUCCCUGCUGAUGGAUCUGAUGUUUUCAUUGUUCCCAUGGUUUCUCCUCUUAUUACCUUUGUAAGACUUAUUUAUGAUCAUACUCUUUCUGGAUUAUGCUUUAUUGGCUGAUGAAUUUACUGAGUUUAUCUUUGGGGGUAGUGGUUAAAAUGUCACAUAAAGUUUUUUUUCCACACUCUUUAGGAAAAAUAAAAAGCAUAAAGUUAUUGCCAGUCAUUAUCAUCUUUAACUUCACCUGCUAUGGGAUGUAAGUGUUUCUUGUUAGUGAUUGAUAUUAUCUUAUAGAGUUCCUUUCCAAAGAGGAUGUCAAACAUAUUAGAUGUAUGAUUUUUUAUUGUGUCAGGUGACCAUGAGAAUGAAUGUGGAUGUUUGACACCGCAUAUAUAGACAGUAUGUUGAAUACCAUGGAUUAUUAGAGUUCAUGACAAUAUUUCUAUGUAUGUGUAGACAAAAGUGAUACUACGGGAUGCGUGAGAAAGACGCCAUUGCAGUGCCACAGUAAUGGGAGUAGAGAGGGUGAUGGGUUCUUGAGGUUGAAGAAGAUGAAAGUUCCCAAAAAUCCACAGCGGUCUGAAGUCAACGAGCAAGACUGUCCUGGAAGCUGUCUGAGAAACUGUUCUUGUACUGCUUACUUUUACGACACGGGGUUGGGAUGUCUUCUUUGGAGCGGAGACUUGAUCGACAUGCAAGAGUUUUUAACCUCUGGCGUUACACUUCACAUACGUCUAGCUGGUUCUGAGCUCAGUAAGUAACAGUUUGGCAUCAUUUUACUAAAACUACAGUGUAAUAACUCACAUAUGUUCCUCAACAGAAACCUCGAGCAACCGAUCACUUGUGAUCGUAAUCACCAUGGUAGGAUGCGCGUUUCUUGUAACGGUGAUUGUUCUUUUAGCACUGAGGAAGGUAGCAAAACGUAGAGGUGAGAGUUAAUCAUGUCUCUAUAGAUAUUUUUAGAUUUAACAAAAGUUUUUCAACUUUUUCGAUUAAUCAACAGAGAAAAACAGAAACGCGAGGUUACUGUUUGAGAGAAUGGAAGCUUUAAAUAGCAACGAGUCCGGAGCCAUCGCUGUGAAUCAAAACAAGCUUAAAGAGCUACCACUGUUCGAGUAUCAAGUUUUAGCUGCUGCUACUGAAAACUUCGCUGUCACAAACAAGCUAGGAGAAGGGGGCUUUGGUUCCGUUUACAAGGUUUGUAAACAGUUUAUUUGCUUCAUUGGUACGAGAGGUUACAGCUUUUCUUGUGCAGGGGAAGUUACGAGAAGGGCAAGAGAUUGCUGUGAAGAGGCUCUCACAAACCUCUGGACAAGGACUCGAAGAGUUUGUGAACGAGGUGGUUGUGAUCUCUAAGUUGCAACACCGGAACCUCGUGAGACUGCUUGGUUUCUGCAUUGAAGGAGAGGAAAGGAUGCUGGUCUAUGAGUUCAUGCCUGGGAACUCUUUGGAUGCAUGCUUAUCUGGUAAUAACUUAUACCAUUUGGUUUAACUCUGUACUGUCUUGUUGGCUAAUGCUCUCUUUGCUGUGUAAAUCAAGACCCGGUGGAGCAAAGACUUCUUGACUGGAAGACUCGGUUUAACAUAAUAGAUGGGAUUUGUAGAGGUCUUAUGUACCUUCACAGAGAUUCAAGACUGAGGAUCAUACACAGAGAUCUCAAAGGCAGUAAUAUCUUGUUGGAUGAGAAUCUUAACCCGAAGAUAUCCGAUUUUGGACUUGCCAGGAUCUUCCGGGGGAAUGAGGAUGAAGCUAGCACCCUAAGAGUGGUUGGAACAUAGUGAGUUAACUAACAAGUACACAUUCAACUUUGUUGAUAAUAAAACUGACAAAAGCAUAACCUUCACAGUGGUUAUAUGGCACCUGAGUACGCAUUGGGAGGGCUAUUCUCGGAGAAGUCAGAUGUUUUCAGCUUAGGAGUCAUACUCUUGGAGAUUGUGAGUGGAAGAAGAAACUCAAGCUUUAACAAUGAUGACCAGAAUCUGAACCUCUCAGCUUAUGUAAGACUACUAAUGAGCUUCCUUCUAUAAAAGCUUGUACACCAUUCUUGAAACCUUUCUUUUUUUUUUUUUUCCUAGGCAUGGAAAUUAUGGAAUGAUGGAGAGGCCACCACUCUCGUGGAUCCUGUCAUCCUUGAAGAGUGUUUUGAAAACCAAAUACGAAGAUGUGUGCACAUAGGACUACUGUGUGUGCAAGAUCACGCUAACGAUAGACCAAGCGUUUCAACGGUGAUUUGGAUGCUAAGUACAGAGAACUCAAACCUUCCGGAGCCAAAGCAGCCAGCGUUUAUAGCUAGAAGGGUCUCACCGGACGCUGAAUCACCUUGGGAAAGUGAGCAAAGAGCAUCUAUCAACAAUGUGAGCAUCACAGAAAUCAUAGGACGUUAGCUCUGUAAGUUGCAUAGAAACCUUAUACUAAAGAAAAUAGAGAAUUUAUUGUAUGAAGUCAAAUAAAUAGAUAAUUUACUGUAUGAAGUCACAUAAAUAGAGAAUCUGUAUCUAUAGGGUUAAAACUUCAGUCACAAUCUGAAAAGUUUAUUGUAUGAAGUCACAUAAAUAGAGAAUCUGUUCCUAUCCUUGAGCUUCAGUUUCUUCAUUCAUGUCUAAUAGUAGGUAACGUUUCACUUUUGGAUCAACACAAUUUAGUUUUUAAUCCCAAACAGUAAUCAUAUAAAUUAAGAAAACAUGUAUGAAGUACAUAAACAUACAUUUCCUGCAAAUCAGUGAACAUAUAUACACAGAGUGGUAUGUAGAAGUUUCUCAAGAUACAUAUUAUAUUUUUAUUUGUGAUGUGUAACAAACUGAGAUAGCCAUCUGAGCUAGCGUGCUGAGAGAGCUGUGUGAGGUUCAUCUCUUGAGAUCUGCUGUUUCCUGAGCGUGCGCUUCUAUGUGCAUAUACUGUAUAAAUCUUGAAAAAAAAAAUGUGUUAUGUUAGUGAGAGCUUUUUGGUUAUUAUAGGAUUAAUCUAGGAAUAGAGCUUGAAUAAAUGAUUGACAUCUUGUGAUGAAUUGUAAGAUGGAUGGCUUUUACUACUACUUGCUCUGUUUUGGCUAGUCAAGUUUAUUGUUGUGUAUUUAAUGAAUCCAUCAAAAGUCAAUACAGAUCUUAUCCAUUAUUCAGGUUUAUUUCCCUUUAUACUCGGUAACCAAAACACAAUACCAUGGUGUUUUAAUUCUUUCACUCAGAUUUAAAAUUCACCGCUUAAAAUUCAUAAUGUGCUUAUUGAAUGAUACCAUAAGUGUUAUCUAUUAAUGUCAAAGCCAUAAUGAAAACUAUUGGUGUUCUUUAAGUUCUGUGUCAUGUUCAAAGUCACAUGAAUCAGUUCUUAAGUUGCAUCCUUUGAGUAAUUACCUGAACUUUACAGCUAAUGUUGUUAGUUUAAUGGUGUUCAACUUGGCUUUUAAUACUACACAGCAUUCAUACGUUUCAUCACAUCAACCUACUGCUCAUAAACAAACAUAGCAAUGAAGAUUGUCUUUGUCAUCUUCUUUUGCUCCUUCCUCCAAACUUGUAUCUCCAAUGAUACCAUCAUGAGAAGACAGUCACUGAGAGAUGGUGAUGUAAUACUCUCUGAAGGGGAGAGGUUCGCCUUUGGAUUCUUCAGCCUGGGGACUUCAAAGCUCCGUUAUGUCGGGAUUUGGUAUGCUCAAAUCUCUGAGCAGACCGUUGUAUGGGUUGCAAACAGAGACCAUCCUAUUAAUGACACAUCUGGUCUGAUAAAGUUCAGCAGCAGUGGGAACCUCUGCAUCUAUGCAUCAGUCAACACAACAGAACCUCUCUGGUCGACUAAUGUUACGGAGAGUAUCCCGGAACCAACUCUAGUUGCGAGACUCUCUGCUCUAGGGAACCUUGUUCUGCUUGAUUCAGUUACAGGGAAAGGUUACUGGGAGAGCUUUGAUCAUCCGACUGACUCUUCUCUUCCGUUUAUGAGGUUGGGUUUCACACGAAAAGACGGUUUGGAUCGCGUUCUGACGUCUUGGAAAUCUCCUGGUGACCCUGCUUCUGGAACUUUCUCAUUACGGAUAAAUCGCACGGGGUUCCCGCAGCUGAUUCUGUACAAAGGUCUGACCCCAUGGUGGCGUACGGGAUCCUGGACCGGGUUGAGAUGGAGCGGUGUUGUCUUCCAAAUCUUGUUUGUUAAUAAUCAGGACGAGGUAUCGAUGACUAACCGCGUGAUGGAUGCUUCAGUCAUAACAAGAAUGAUGGUGAACGAGACAGGAAAGGUGCAACGUCUCACAUGGAGCGCAAAGGAGAAGAGAUGGAAUGUGUUCUGGUCAAUUCCUAAAGAGGAAUGCGACAAUUAUGCACACUGCGGCCUUAACGGUUACUGCCGUCCCACAAGUUCAGAAGCGUGCACAUGCCUGCCUGGCUUUGAGCCAAAGAUGCCCCGGGAUUGGUUAUUGAGGGACUACACGGGCGGGUGUUCGAGGAAAAACGAAACUUCACUAUGCCGUGAGAAAGAAGGCUUUGUGAAGUUAACGAACGCGAAGAUUCCCGACACGUCAAUUGCACGUGUGGAUAUGAACAUAACAUUGAAGGAAUGUAAACUGAGGUGCUUACGGAACUGCUCUUGCGUCGGUUACGCAAGCGCUUACCACGAGGGUGUGGGAGGAGAAAAAGGGUGCUUGACAUGGCACGGUGAUAUGUUGGAUACAAGGUCACUCUUGAGUUCUGGACAAGACUUCUACAUACGUGUAGACAGGGAAGAGUUAGGUAUAUAUAUAUAAAUCUAUUUUAAUAAUUUUGACGAAUAGAAAAAGCAUUUCAAUCUAAAGUAUUUUGAAGUACUUAGUACCGGUUUGGUUACUUGUUGCAGAGCGGUGGAACAAAAAUGGCUCAUUAGGGAAGAGGAGAGCCAUUAUCAUUGUCAUCAGUGUGAUUGCAGCCUUGAUGUUACUAGCUGUCAUUUCGUUCUGUUACGUAAGGAAGCGACGAAGUAAGUGAAUAUCUCUACGAUGCAUCUUACAAGCUCAUAUGUUUCUUGCUUAUCUCACAACUAGCUAUUUUGAAACAUUCUCACCUGCAGAGUCGAACAGGGAUAGAAGAUCCUCAACAACCUUGGCUCCAGGUUCUUUUGAUAUUAGUGACACAUUCAGAUUUGAAGAGGAUCAGGGGGGGAGAGAAUGGGAGUUACCUCUCUUUGAACUUAACACGAUCGCUACAGCGACGAACAAUUUCACUUUCCGUAACAAACUUGGAGAAGGUGGUUUCGGACCCGUUUAUAAGGUACAAUGCAUCUUCAAAUAUGCCUAAACUUUUUAUGUAUAUGCAAAUCUUUAACAAUACUAUUCCAUCAAACAAAACAAAUUACGUUGUGUCUCUCUCCACUCAGGGCGUGUUAGACAAUGGUAUGGAGAUAGCAGUGAAGAGGUUGUCGAAAAACUCAGGCCAAGGAAUGGAAGAGUUCAAGAACGAGGUCAAGCUGAUAUCAAAGUUGCAGCAUCGAAAUCUAGUGAAGAUGUUAGGAUGUUGCGUUGAAUCAGAAGAGAAGAUGUUGGUAUACGAGUAUUUACCAAACAAGAGCCUAGACUAUUUCAUAUUCCGUAAGUUCAAGAUUUCUGAUGCUUGUAGUCUAGUCUACACAUUCAAAGAUCUUAUGGUGUUGUGUUUACCGUAGAUGAAGAGCAGAGAGCGGAGUUGGAUUGGCCUAAACGGAUGGAGAUAAUACACGGGAUUGCUCGCGGAAUCUUGUAUCUUCAUCAAGAUUCAAGACUGAGGAUCAUCCACAGAGACCUCAAGGCCAGCAAUGUACUUCUUGACAACGAAAUGAUCCCCAAGAUUGCGGAUUUUGGCAUGGCUAGAAUUUUUUGGGGAAAACAAAUCAGAGGAAGCACAAAUCGUGUCGUCGGAACAU
rnacentral:lncRNA from 1 species